rnacentral:rRNA from 1 species
AUGCAGACUCAGUUUCGCGAGCUGAUCUGGAGCACCCGAUCGCCUGCAAAGCUGAAGAUCUUCGCCUGGCUGCUCCACCAGAACCGGCUUUGGUGCAAUGAUAGGUUGCAGCAGCGAGGAUGGCCGAACAACUACUUCUGUCAGUUAUGCCUCCGCAACCUGGAAAGCUCCGAGCAUUUGUUCUGGCUUUGCCCCCUUGCGACGGCAACCUGGAAUUCCAUUGCUACAUGGAAGUGCUGGCGCGCACUAGGCCAGGAAUCCUGGAUCAGGAACAUAAGCUCUCUGGACAAGUUCAAAGCUAUGUCAGAUGCAACGCCGCCAAUUCAUAGGAAAGCGAUCAAGUCCCUUGCAAUGCUUGCCCUUUGGCAGAUCUGGCAGGAGAGGAACCACUGUAUAUUUAGGGCAAAAGAGGCCAAGGUGGAAGACAUUCUCAACGAGAUCAGGAGAGGGCUAAGCCUCUGGCAACAAGCCGACAUCAAGUCAAUUCAGAGCCCCUUCGGGGACCCGCCGGGAGAGUAG